CACCAGACUCCUACGGGAGGCAGCAGUGGGGAAUAUUGCACAAUGGGGGAAACCCUGAUGCAGCGACGCCGCGUGAGCGAAGAAGUACCUCGGUAUGUAAAGCUCUAUCAGCAGGGAAGAAAGUGACAGUACCUGACUAAGAAGCCCCGGCUAACUACGUGCCAGCAGCCGCGGUAAUACGUAGGGGGCAAGCGUUAUCCGGAUUUACUGGGUGUAAAGGGAGCGUAGACGGCGAUGCAAGUCUGAAGUGAAAGGCGGGGGCCCAACCCCUGGACUGCUUUGGAAACUGUAUGGCUGGAGUGCUGGAGAGGAAAGUGGAAUUCCUAGUGUAGCGGUGAAAUGCGUAGAUAUUAGGAGGAACACCAGUGGCGAAGGCGGCUUUCUGGACUGAAACUGACGCUGAGGCACGAAAGCGUGGGGAGCGAACAGGAUUAGAUACCCUAGUA
rnacentral:rRNA from 1 species